AAAGUCGGUGACAGUGUGUGUGCUCUUGGUGGAUAUCUAAAUGAUAUACUGGAACACAUAGUGACUGCCAGCCUGCGAGUCCUGACUAGUAUUCUUCAAAAAUGUCGAAGUCAUCACAAACAAAGAAACUGAGAAACAGUCUCAGUUUCCUAAGGAAACGGAUGACUGGGAUAAACAAGCCCUGGGCAGGACCAUGGGACAGAAAAAUAGACCUUAGGUGAAACUAAGAGAGUUUGUAUAGAGGAUGGACUUCAGUUCAUUAUAAUGUAGCAUUCUGAAACAAAUGUACCGUAUUAAUAUAGAAAGUCAGUACCAGUGGAGAUUGGCAGGAGAAUGUAUGGAGAUAUGUGGCCAUACUAUUUGUCUUUUUUUUUUUCUUUUAAAUUAAAAUUGCUCUGAAAGUAAAAUCUAUUUAAGAUUCAGUACAUGGGAGGAGUUCAAACAGGGAUUCCUUUGUGAAUAUGUGGGCAGGGACGAGAUAAAAAAAACACCAGAGGAAAAUGAUGCAUCCGAAAACAUCUGCCUUGGGCUACAGAGAUGCUAUGCAGUUAAGAGCACUGGCUGCUCUUCCAUAGGACCUGAAUUCAUUCCCCAGCACAUACACAGGAGCUCCACAACUGUCUAUAAUCCAGCUCCAAGGUGUUUGACACCCUCACACAGCUCUACAUGCAGGCAAGACACCAGUGCUCCUAAAAGAAAAAGAAAUCAUUUUUAAAAAUAAAGCCUCGGUGUGAAAGGGGAGAGAAAAGGGUUUUAGUAACAGAAGAUCGAAUGGCAGCCGAGCUGAAACGCAGAUCCCUGAGAGCACCUGGCCCCUGAGCAGAGAACCGUGGCCUGAGGUGAUAACUCCAUGCUUGGCUUAGCAUGCAAGUGUUGGAUCUGAUUCCCAACAAGACACACACACAUGCACACACACACAUGCACACACACAUACACAAACACAAGCACGCACGUACCCAUCCAGCCGCACGCACAGACACACUGACUUCUGACUUUGGAGAGAGAGGUAAUCACACACAGCAAAGGAAAGGCUGGGGAAAUAACCUGUUGAGUUCACACCCCAUCCACCCCAUCUGCCAUCAUAUCUGCCAGUCCUCCCCUUCGGCCAGAUCCCAUCAGAAGAGCCAGGGAUAGCGGGUACCUCGCUGAUUCUGUUUAUAAAGCUGAGUUUCUCUGGAGAAAAGUGGAGGGCAGAUUUGAAAGAGUGAAUGAAAAGUCGUGAGCUUUGGCGCAUAAGAAGCUUGGUGCAACCAUUCUGACUGGCGUGCGGGGCUAAAGGUGGAGCUUGGAGCUGGAGCCUUCAUGUAGCAGAAUUUGGACUUCAGCCCAAGGACAUGAGGAUGGUGAAUCAGUUUUGUUCCUUGGGCCAAAAUAAAAUCAGUAGCAUAGAACAGUGAUUUAAGAAGGGAUUUCAGGGUGUCUCUGUGAGAAAGGGUAUGUGAUUUAUAGUAACGCUCACCUAGGAAUUAGGAGAGUUAGUGCAAAAGCUUUUUAAAUAGAGCUUCAAGAUUCAAACAGCAGUGCAGACAGGACUAACCUGAAACUAGACCUUAAUGUCUGUUCGUGGUUCUUUGUGAUAUGUGGUCUUUCCCUUACAAAUGGCUUCUUAAACUGUAGAUCAUCAUGUUGCAGACUAUAGGCCCAUCAUUACAGCUUUGUGCUGAUUGGAUAAAGAUCAAGUCAUUGAGCUUGUAGGCUGGACAGCAUCUUAUGAAAUGGCCUGGCAUGAGCUUCAUCUGCCUGAGAUCUGCCUGUUGGUUACUAAUAAUCCAUCAGACUUCUAAUGGGGAUAGAGGUUAAAUCCGUCUGCUCACCCAAGGGAGAACACAAGACCCAGCCACAAGGACUUAGACAGUUUGGUGAUGAACUUUGGGAAAGAGAGGAGAUGCAGUUCAACAGAAAGCUUAAGGCUGAAAGGGCAAGAGGAAAGCAGGUGCUGAGGUAGAGAAGAGAGCAAUGGGAAGAGCAGAAGGAAAGAAGCUCUGGGUGGAGAUGGGAGGUCUGUGAAAGCCAUCAGAGCUGCUGGAUGUGGGGAACUGGUGGAGAGGAAACUGCCCUGUGCAACUCUUCCUUUUGUAGUGAGUUCUCUGCAGAAAGGGUCUCUGUGGGCUUAGAUUUUUCAAAACCUACUUUAAUAAGGGUUCUCAAAUGCUAGCCCACCAUCCAAAGGUAGGGGAGAAACGACGAUAAAUAGGACAAGGGGAUGUGGACCUGUUUAGAAAUGGUUCUUCGGGGGCGAUUCUAAUCUCUGUUGUCUGGAUACCAGCAGUCCAGAUCAGUAGUGUCACGAUACCAAACACGAAUCAGCAGCAGUGGCAAGAUCCAGCCAAAACUGCCAGGCCUCCUCCACCAGGAGCGACCAGCUUUGCCAGGGAAGCUCUCUCAAUGAAGUGAAGAUCAGCGGAGAUGUGAGACCAAUGAAGAAUUGCACAGCUAGCUAUGCAAGUACCCUGUCACUGUCUUUUGAGUCCUAUUUAUGCUCUCUCCAAACAUGACAGGUCCUAUCAUGGGUCUUGCCUUAGCCUGCAGCAUGUGGCACAACCAGAAAUUUCCGCUUUGAGUCUCCCCGUGCAACCAGGACAUGUAGGUCCCUGCCACUUGUAUAGAUUUAUUUAUUUAUUUAUUUAUUUAUUUAUUUAUUUAUUUAUUUAAAGAUUAAAAAAAUCUCUGCAUAUGCAUAUAUCAAAUCCCCUCCCUCAGGGUUCAGAGAACCCUGUCGAAGAGAGUGCAGAAAGGGUGUAAGAGCCAGAGGGGAUGGAGGACACUAAGAGAACAAGACCUCUAAAUCAACACGAUAGAUGUUCAUGUGACCUUACAGAGCCUGAGGCAGCAUGCACAGGACCCGCAUGGAUCUGUACCAAGUCCUCAGUGUAUACAUUAUGCCUUCUAGUUCAGUGGUUUUAUGGAAUUCCUGAGUGUAUGAUCAAGUGCCUUUCUGAUUCUUAUGCCUUCUCUUGGACUCUUUGCCUUCUCUUGUUCGUUUUGUCUAAUUCUGAUGAGUUGGGUUUUCUUUGGUUUUAUUAUAUUUUUUAAAACUUUUUAUCGGUUCUUUGUGAGUUUCACAUCAUGUACCCCAAUCCCACUCAUCUGCCCCUCCCCUUGCAUGUGCCCUCCACCCUUGCAACCUGCCCACCAGCAAAGGAAACCCAUUCUUGCUGUGGAAGCUGCAGUGUGUCAUGGUGUAUGUCCCAGUACACCCUUUUGUCUCUUCUUCCUUGUUUGCACAGGUUCAUUGCAAUGAGUCAUUGGGCUGGUUCAGGUCCUCUGGCAUCUGCUGUUCUCUCAGUACUGGAUCCUCACUGGGUCUCCUCUUGUCUAUCCUGUUGUCCUGUGUCACAGAGAUCCUGCAGCUUUCGAUCUGCAGGAACGGGCUCCAGAAUGGGACAUUUUGUUUUGUUAUUAUCCCUUAGAAGGCCUGUUUGUCUUCUAAUGAGAGACACAGUGUGAAUCUGGGUGGGAGGGUUGAGGGAGGAACCAGGAAGAAUAGAGGGAGAGGGAACCAUAAUCAGAAUAUAUUAUAUGAGAAAAAACUCUACUUUCAAUAAAAGGGAAAAACAAUAAGAUUAAUUAUAGUAAGAAAAUAAAAGCUGGCUUAGAACAGAGUGCCAUAAAGUUAUUGUGGAUCUGGGCUCACUAAACUUUCAGUAAAGUGCAGUUGAAAAGAUAUAUAGUAAGGAUUCGUUAAGGAUAUAUUUUAAAUAGUAUAUACAAAGUAAUAACAUUUCCCACUCGUAAGGAAUCUCGUGGAAAAGUUUUUGUGAAGCCAGGUGUGGUGGCAUACACCUUUAAUUCAGCACUCAAAAGGCAGAAGCAAGUAGGUCUUUAUGAGUUCAAGGCCAGCCUGGCCUACACAGAGAAAACCUGUCUCAAAAAAUAAAACAAACAAAAAGUCUUUGUGAAUAAUUGGAAUCCUAUGGUGUAUCCGUGUCAAAAACUUGCUCGUAGCGACUUGUAAAUGAGGACAACCCAGCCUCACCAUUGGCUUCUUUCGGUUUUAAAGUUUGGUUCCAGGUCAUCACAGAGCAGAUAGGAUUCUUCCUAAAUUCUCGUCUCUUUGGCCAUGUGAUUUUUGUAAUCUAGUGAUUUUAUAAAAUAAACAUCUUUAGUAGUAUAAAAUAUUUAUUUUAAAUGUGUGCAUAUAUAUGUGCAUCUAUGUAUGUAUGUGACCCCUGGAGGUCAGAAGCCUUUAUUAACGUUACAGGUGGUUGUGUGUUACCAUGUGGGUGCUGAGAACUGAACUCUGCAAGUGCUCUUAACCGUGUGUGUGUGUGUGUGUGUGUGUGUGUGUGUGUGUGUGUGUGUGUGUUGUAUUUGGGUGCUCGUGUAGCUUGAGUUUACAUGUACAUACGUGUAUGGGGAGACCAUGGGAUAAACCUCAAGGGUUAUUCCUCAGGGGCCUUCCACUUAUUUUUGUGAGACAGGAUCUUUCACUGGCCUCUAGCUAGACAAGUAGGCCAGCCUGGCUGGAGACUAGACUAGCUCCAGCAAGCCCCAGGGACCCAUGGUCCCUGAUUCACAUCUGCCCUUUUAUUUAUUUCAAGUAUGGGUUCUACGAAUCAAACGCAGCUUCUCAUCCUUGGUGUCCCCAGCCGUGCUAUCAUUGUUUCUGCCACUUUGGUUGGGAUGGGAACGGGUGGAAAUGGAGAAAACUAAUGGGAGUCUAUUAUCCCUCUAAUGUGAAAUCCCUCUGCUCACCCAGGUAUCCUCAGGCCUGACAUGUACCUGGAACAUAGCAGAUUCAAUACCCCCAUCCCACCCUCACCCCCACCCCGUGGUUCUAGGGGUUGAGUCUCAGGCAUCCUGCAUGUUAGAAGCCCUGUCACGGGUUCAGUGCUAUGUAAUGAUGGAAACAUGAUGGACUAUGAAGCUCUCCUUUCCCUACUGGGCAUCCACACAUACACCUGCCUUCUCCUUUCACAGUAGAGGGUGGGACUAACAUUCACCCAGCUGCAUCUUCUUUUAGCUUUCCAGUCCUUUCCAGUCCCCAUUCCUGCCUCUUCAGCCAGGAACUGAUUAAGGGGUCUGAUUAAUGAAUGACUUUUAGUUGUUUUCAUUUCUUCCACUGGACAGCAUGAGGGGGAAGCGUGCACAUUGCUGAAACUGUGGUUGUGGUGAAACCCCUGUCCCUCAGAAAGGAGACCCAGUGGCUGUGUUCCAGGAAGCCGGUUGACAACAGGCAAGGGCUAAUGCCGAUUUCCCUCAUUUGUAAUUAAGGUGUCAAGAUUUCCAGGGUAAAGAAGCAAUUGCAUUUUCUGUUGCCAUACUUUUUUUUUUGUUAAUGAUUAACCCUAUCUCCCGUUGCCCUGAUAAGAAAGCUGAUCUUAAGCCAAGGCAUUCUUGCAUUUGAUGUAGCACGCUAUUUCUUUUGCAGAAAACACCUUCCUGGUUUCCAGGCAACCCAUUGAGAGUGUUCCUCUCUGUGUCAGAGACCUAUGAAAAGGCUGACAUUUGGGGCAUCCACUGGCCUUCAUGAUGGUACUUGCCUGGCGAAAUGCAUUCCACACGUUAGGAAAAUAAAAAAAAAAAACUGAAACAAAUUCCAGGCAGGACCAUAAUUCACGUCUCUGACGUUUCUUCUUGCUUCAAUUUGGGAUGAACGGAUGGGCAACGUGUGUUAGAGAGGAAAAUUCCCCAGGCUUCGGCUGCACUGGGCAGAAAAAGCAGAGGCUGACCACCUAAGGUCUUGUGGGUGGGCUUAGGAGUCUGGGGGAAGAGAACUGGUGUCUUGUAGCUAUUUUGAAUAUUAUGGCCCAUGUCGUUUAACUGCAGUUUCCUGGUUGCUCCGGUUAGUGCUGGUUAUGUAGUAAUGGAGCUGUUACAACC
rnacentral:lncRNA from 1 species